GCCGAUGUAGCUCAACCUGGCAGAGCAAUCGCUUCGUAAGCGAUAGGUUGUCGGUUCGAUUCCGACCAUCGGCUCCA
rnacentral:tRNA from 1 species